CAGGGAAUCUUGCGCAAUGGGCGAAAGCCUGACGCAGCAACGCCGCGUGGGGGAUGACGGCCUUCGGGUUGUAAACCCCUUUCAGGAGGGAAGAAAUUGACGGUACCUCCAGAAGAAGCCCCGGCCAACUACGUGCCAGCAGCCGCGGUAAUACGUAGGGGGCAAGCGUUGUCCGGAAUUAUUGGGCGUAAAGAGCUCGUAGGCGGCUCAGCAAGUCGGCUGUGAAAUCCCGAGGCUUAACCUCGGAACUGCAGUCGAUACUGCUGUGGCUAGAGUCUGGUAGAGGAGAAUGGAAUUCCCGGUGUAGCGGUGAAAUGCGCAGAUAUCGGGAGGAACACCAGUAGCGAAGGCGGUUCUCUGGGCCAGUACUGACGCUGAGGAGCGAAAGCGUGGGGAGCAAACAGG
rnacentral:rRNA from 1 species